rnacentral:lncRNA from 1 species
AGAGAUCUACGGUGACUUUGUUUCAUGAGAUGAUUCAUCGUGAAAGCAAAAGCCAUGUUGAUGACAUGAUGGCAAAGUCCCAAACAGAACAGGGGCAUCCGGUAGACUUGGGGCAAGUUGUUUGACCGGUUGAGAUAACUCAUACUUUUGAGUCUGAAUCAGUGCACUUAUGGAGUGUUGUCCAUCAAGCUACCGAGGCUUGUUGUGAGCGAAUCAGAGGAAUCGAGGUCGAUCCUGCUAAAAAAAAAAAGAGAGGGUAAGUUGUAGGAACCUCUGAUUCCGAUACCUCAGUGAAAGAAAUAACUGUUAAUCCGGUACUUGAUAACCCUCGAGGGGUCUACGAGGUGCGUAUUGAGUCAGCA